GGAAAAGGAGCCCAGAAAACAAUUUGUUUAUUAUAAGCAGGUCAGUCCUCGGGGGGACUCAUGGAAUCACGCAGUGGGAGAGGACAAUCAUGGCACUGAAAUGAGAUGUGGGGAGAACAAAAGAAGGAGGACCAUGAAUGAGAGCUUAUGUUUUUGUACCCAAAAUGGUGAGUGCAUCAGAAGAAGAAAACAUUGGUUUGGAUGACAUUCUUGAAGAAUUGAAAAGAUAAGUGAAGAGGAAUCAGAUGACCAAACUGCCAAACAUGUAAAACCAGCAUCAUUA